rnacentral:rRNA from 1 species
GAUGAACGCUGGCGGCGUGCCUAAUACAUGCAAGUCGAGCGAACAGACGAGGAGCUUGCUCCUUUGACGUUAGCGGCGGACGGGUGAGUAACACGUGGAUAACCUACCUAUAAGACUGGGAUAACUUCGGGAAACCGGAGCUAAUACCGGAUAACAUGUUGAACCGCAUGGUUCAACAGUGAAAGACGGUCUUGCUGUCACUUAUAGCUGGAUCCGCGCCGCAUUAGCUAGUUGGUAAGGUAACGGCUUACCAAGGCAACGAUGCGUAGCCGACCUGAGAGGGUGAUCGGCCACACUGGAACUGAGACACGGUCCAGACUCCUACGGGAGGCAGCAGUAGGGAAUCUUCCGCAAUGGGCGAAAGCCUGACGGAGCAACGCCGCGUGAGUGAAGAAGGUCUUCGGAUCGUAAAACUCUGUUAUUAGGGAAGAACAAAUGUGUAAGUAACUAUGCACGUCUUGACGGUACCUAAUCAGAAAGCCACGGCUAACUACGUG